rnacentral:rRNA from 1 species
UACGAAGGGGGCUAGCGUUGCUCGGAAUCACUGGGCGUAAAGCGCACGUAGGCGGCUUUCUAAGUCAGGGGUGAAAUCCUGGAGCUCAACUCCAGAGCUGCCCUUGAUACUGGAGAGCUUGAGUUCGGGAGAGGUGAGUGGAACUGCGAGUGUAGAGGUGAAAUUCGUAGAUAUUCGCAAGAACACCAGUGGCGAAGGCGGCUCACUGGCCCGAUACUGACGCUGAGGUGCGAAAGCGUGGGGAGCAAACAGG